GGAUGGUUGUUUCCGAAUGUCCCUCCGUUUGGCUUUGUCUGGUGUCCCCCACGAUUAGGGUGCGGUUUCCUGGUGUCACGGUAGGAGCGUCAGGGACAUCGUCACGUCUUGUCAGGUGGCACGUGGUUCCCGUUGUCCCGUCGCCGGUUAGACUGGCUGCGGUCACCUGGCCGAGACGUGCCCUUUCUCCCUGUAGCUAAUGUCUUCAGGGGAGGUGCUCUGAAACCAUGUAAGUGUCCGUUUCCUCCUCAGACCUUGAACGGUUUUGGGGUCUGCUGGUGUGCUCGGCUGAACUCGUUCUCAGCAUGCUCGUUGCCAAAUUGGUGUUCCCCUAACUGCAGUCCUCCUGCGCUGCUGCUGAGGGCCUGCUGUAAGGAAACGCCUUCCUGCUCUCUGUUCACUCAGUUACUUGUUUGUGCCGCUUUAGGGCCCCUUCUCUGCCGGGCCGGGCUGGCAGCUUGUCCCCAGUCCCCUCCCUGCCGAGGGCUUGCUCAGCUCGAGCAGGUGGGGGUGGGCGGGGCCCUGGAAGGAAGCAGUGCCCUGCGGCCCCUCGGGAACCUCCCUUCCUUUGAGGUCUCAGCACAGGUUUUUUUCCAUGUGUCGUCCAUUUUUCCUGGCGGCUUGGGAGGGCACUUGGUCCGCCCUGUCUGCCAGAAGCUGGACGUAGUCAUUUCAACCAGUGACCCGGGAGGCUGUCUGUCAGUUCUCAUCGCUAUUGUGUUUGUCUUAUUUUUGAUCUGUGGCAUUAAAGAGACUCUGCUCUGUUGGGCUUGUGAUUUUAACGUUUAGAAACGCUGAAAUCUUUAGUCAGUGUUUACAUGGUUGGAGAAAUCUAACUUAAAAUUCUUCAGUAUUUUAAAGAAUAGCUUCAUUUAUAGAGCAGUUUUAGAUUUACAGGAAAACUGGGAGGCUGCUGGAGAGUUUCGUAUCCCCGUUUCCCGUAUUAACACCAUGCGUUAGCGUGGGAUGCCUGUCACAGCAGCAGCAGC